UGAAAAAUUAGCGGAUGACUUGUGGCUGGGGGUGAAAGGCCAAUCAAACCGGGAGAUAGCUGGUUCUCCCCGAAAGCUAUUUAGGUAGCGCCUCGUGAAUUCAUCUUCGGGGGGUAGAGCACUGUUUCGGCUAGGGGGGUCAUCCCGACUUACCAACCCGAUGCAAACUACGAAUACCGAAGAAUGUUAUCACGGGAGACACACGGCGGGUGCUAACGUCCGUCGUGAAGAGGGAAACAACCCAGACCGCCAGCUAAGGUCCCAAAGUCAUGGUUAAGUGGGAAACGAUGUGGGAAGGCACAGACAGCCAGGAUGUUGGCUUAGAAGCAGCCAUCAUUUAAAGAAAGCGUAAUAGCUCACUGGUCGAGUCGGC
rnacentral:rRNA from 1 species